rnacentral:sRNA from 1 species
CCUGCUCGGAAUCCCUCGCCGUUGGUGGAUAUCGUCCAGACGCUGAUCCAGCAGUUUUGGCGAUCUGGAGCUGCACGUGUCGGACUAAUGCGUAAUAGACUAUAUGCGUAAUUAGGUGGAAGAGAGUAGAGACAAAAUGCAGGAAUAUACUAUAUGAGUUUACGCAAAACCUGUCUACAUUUCGUCGCGACGUAGUUAACCUUCCCAAAACAAUGGCAUAUUCAACAGCGGUGAAUCCAACCUUCUA